GAUGAACGCUAGCGGCAGGCUUAACACAUGCAAGUCGAACGGUAACAUGAGAGCUUGCUCUUGAUGACGAGUGGCGCACGGGUGCGUAACGCGUAUGCAAUCUUACCUUUUACUGGAGAAUAGCCCUUGGAAACGAGGAAUAAUACUCCAUAGUAUAACAAUUUCGCAUGUUAUUGUUAUUAAAGCUUAGGCGGUAAAAGAUGAGCAUGCGUCCCAUUAGUUAGUUGGUGAGGUAAAGGCUCACCAAGACUGCGAUGGGUAGGGGGCCUGAGAGGGUUAUCCCCCACACUGGUACUGAGACACGGACCAG
rnacentral:rRNA from 1 species